rnacentral:rRNA from 1 species
AGUGAACGCUGGCGGUAGGCCUAACACAUGCAAGUCGAACGGCAGCACAGUAAGAGCUUGCUCUUACGGGUGGCGAGUGGCGGACGGGUGAGGAAUACAUCGGAAUCUACUUUUUCGUGGGGGAUAACGUAGGGAAACUUACGCUAAUACCGCAUACGACCUACGGGUGAAAGCAGGGGAUCUUCGGACCUUGCGCGAUUGAAUGAGCCGAUGUCGGAUUAGCUAGUUGGCGGGGUAAAGGCCCACCAAGGCGACGAUCCGUAGCUGGUCUGAGAGGAUGAUCAGCCACACUGGAACUGAGACACGGUCCAGGCUACUACGGGAGGCAGCAGUGGGGAAUAGUGGACAAUGGGCGCAAGCCUGAUCCAGCCAGACCGCGUGGGUGAAGAAGGCCUUCGGGUUGUAAAGCCCUUUUGUUGGGAAAGAAAAGCAGCAGGUUAAUACCCCGCUGUUCUGACGGUACCCAAAGAAGAAGCACCGGCUAACUUCGUG